AGUGAAUAGAUCCCAGGUAGUCCUAGCUGUAAACGUUGGGUACUAGGUAUUGGGAGUGAGAACACUUUCAGUGCCGAAAGCGAAACGCGUUAAGUACCCGCCUGGGACUACGGCCGCAAGGUUAAAACCCAAAGGAAUUGACGGGGCCCGGCACAAGCAGCGGAGCGUGUGGUUUAAUUCGAUGCGACACGAAGAACCUCACCUGGGUUUGACAUACAAGUAGUAGGGGAGCGAAAGCCGACCGAGCCGCAAGGCAGCUUGAACAGGUGCUGCAUGGCUGUCGUCAGCUCGUGCCGUGAGGUGUUGGGUUAAGUCCCACAACGAGCGCAACCCUUAUUGCCAGUUACAAGUAUCUGGCGAGACUGCCGGCGUAUAACCGGAGGAAGGUGGGGAUGACGUCAAGUCAGCAUGGCCUUUAUAUCCAGGGCUACACACACGCUACAAUGG
rnacentral:rRNA from 1 species